rnacentral:tRNA from 1 species
AAAUAAGAAGCAAUUUUGCAUUUAAUUUCGACUUAAAAAUAGAGUAUUUACUCCUUAUUUA